rnacentral:tmRNA from 1 species
GAAAUUCUCGCAGCAAUCGGCAUUCCCCAUGUUGACGAAUCGAAGCCGCAACCGUAGGGCGAUUCUCAUGAUCGUAAUUCGGUCAAUUGAUGGUUAGGCGUGACGCGGGGGCAGUACCCGCCAUCUCCACCAUUAGUCUUGUGGUUGGCGUCUUCCUCCAUAUGCCGGUUGCGCAUCGGCCUUUGUUCGGGGUAAGUUGGCCAACUGGGGCGCUUCUGCCAAUGUCGGCAUCUGACAUAAGGCAGUAAACCACAAGGCUGUUGAUGGGGAUGAACUAGGAUCGAACGUCUAGGCUGAUUGAGAACGCGAUUAAGUGAGGCCCGGCUUUAACAGGACCGAAAACGUAAAUGUCAACGAUAACGACAUCAUGGAAAUGCGCCUCGCGGCGUGAUUUUUCGGGGACUGGCCCACCCGGCAACAGAACGGGCCACA